GCCAACUAACUAGCUCUGUUGGUAGAGCACGAGACUCUUAAUCUGAGGGUUGUGGGUUCGAAUCCCAGGUUGGGCA